CCUACGGGCGACAGCAGUGGGGAAUAUUGGGCAAUGGGCGCAAGCCUGACCCAGCAACGCCGCGUGAAGGAAGAAGGCUUUCGGGUUGUAAACUUCUUUUGUCAGGGAAGAGUAGAAGACGGUACCUGACGAAUAAGCCACGGCUAACUACGUGCCAGCAGCCGCGGUAAUACGUAGGUGGCAAGCGUUGUCCGGAUUUACUGGGUGUAAAGGGCGUGUAGCCGGGUUGACAAGUCAGAUGUGAAAUCCUGCGGCUUAACCGCAGAACUGCAUUUGAAACUGUUGAUCUUGAGUACUGGAGAGGCAGGCGGAAUUCGUAGUGUAGCGGUGAAAUGCGUAGAUAUUGGGAGGAACACCAGUGGCGAAGGCGGUCUGCUGGACAGCAACUGACGGUGAGGCGCGAAAGCGUGGGGAGCAAACAGGAUUAGAUACCCGAGUAGUC
rnacentral:rRNA from 1 species